CAGGGGACAAAGUUCCAGACUUGUGAAUCUCCCUGAGAUGCAAAUCCUUGCAAGACUGAUUUUACUGCUUUGCUACCUGUCUUACUCAUUUAUCUAUUUUAUGUCUUAAAUAUAACCUAGGCAAAUUGCACAGUAAAAAACACAUAAACCAACCCCAGAGCUGCAAACAUUCACCAGCCCUACCCUUACACCACAAGCACUUCUUUUCAGUGCAGAUAACUGUCAUUUCCCACCUCAAAUUCUUGGCUACCUACCUGCAAGGGAAAAGAGAGCUUACGCACUAGUAGGAACUACCAAAGCAUUUCCACAUGCUCAGAGCCGAUAUUUCGGAUGUUUUCAGAUAUUUCGUGUUGCUAUGAGACAGGAGCACUGAGUCAUUUCCCAGAGCUGGCCAGGUCUGCCUGGCGAAGCGAGCAACUACGAAUUACCACGUCCUGCAGCAUGUUGCGGGGGUGUUUCCAGCAUAGCAAGGGAAAGUGGCAAAAACUAAAAAAAAAGUGCUCCUGGGGAAACAGGCCAUGAGCAGAGGGAAUAAGUUGAACUACAGGAAAUCAUUGGCUGCUCUUUUUUUCCCCAGACCUUGACCUCCAGCAGCAACAUCAGAACACGGAACGAAACGCGGACGCUCGGUAAAGAACUGGAGAAUCCCUGAAUCUCGCUUGUCCUCCCUUCCCUUCCCAAAGGGCGUUAGACCAACCCGGCAGCAGACGGAGGACAACACGCUAACUUCAAACGUAAUGCUGACACAGACGUACUUGCCUCGGCUUUUGUGGGAUAACAGCAUCCAGCGAAUGUCAGGAUUUACAUACGCUGCAGAUGAUACUUUGGCAGCAGUCCUAGACCCCAAGGAUUCCUGCGAAAGCAGAAGUCAGCCGUGCCAGCACACUGCUGCAGCAGAUCCCACACAAGUGCAUUUGUCAGCACCUCCUAGUGCACAGCCCAUGCUUAAAUAAAUCAGAAUCGGACUUUGUCCUGCUUUAUCUCGCAAAAUUCCCAAGCAAAGUCAGGGGCUCAUCGGCAACCUGCUUUAUGUGCUACUGAGGGACACACGCGUCGGAGAGCUCACAGCCUCCUCGCUCCGUUCCUGCGGCACCUGCUCCGGUCCCCGUAUCGCGAGCGCAGGGAGGAGGACGAAGGGCAGUUACCGUCUCUGCAGUGUAAAAGCGGGAGCGCUGCUGCUCCUCACUGAGCCCAUGGAAAAGCACCACGCGGCCGUAUCCGAAACCCGCCUUCUCGUUUCCUCCCAGUGACCUUGUCUCCUGACCCAAAAGGUGCCAGAAAGCAAUGAGGAAAGGGAAAACUGCAACUGGUUCCACAAUAGUUCGUUGAGAAACAGCUUGCCUCUCCCCCCCCUUCACGUUUUCCAACGAAAAGAAGAGAAGAAAACAUAUCUACUUACCAGUUACAUCCCAGGGCACAGAGCACUCGUCUGGGAAGUCUGCCAUUUCGUAUCAGCCCUUUUGAUUUUGCAGUCUGCCACCUCCAGCUGUGAAGAAGCCGGACGGGCAGACUUUGCCCGCACGUCCCCCGAGGGCACGUCUCCCGACCCUCCCGGCCCCCAACUGUCACCUUUCUUCGGGCAGACCUCUGCUCUCCUAAGCCGGCCAGGUUAACGUGCUGGCUUGCUACUAGGAUAAAACACUUAUGGUAGGUUUUACAGUAGUAAAGCACCGCCACCGCUACAAUCUCCCAAGAUAACAAUUGGGAUAACAAGCAACCACCAAAGUCUCGCUCGUCCAGAACAAAAGCAGGGCAGAGAGCAGCCUUGAAAGGAUAACCAGCUCCCGAACGCACUCGCUUAAUACGUACAACUUGCGAAGCAUCUCCAUGUGGAGACACUGAAAAGUCUUACAAUAUCCUCCCGCAAGUCAUUUUCUGUGCAAUUAUUGCCUAGACUUGCAUCUUGCUGCCGUCAGGUCUGGCUUUGCUCUCUGUUACGCAGACCUUUGGACAAGGCUGAACCAGGCUAUGUGCCUUCUCCCCCCCCCCCCAAAAAAAAAUACAGCAGCACUUCAGUACACUUGCAUGUUCCCCCUGCGCUCUGAAUGAAUUUCCCACCAUCGUUUCAGUUGUAAGCAAGAUCUACUCAAGAAUACAGUUGUCAAUAAGGCCACAAAGGAAUACAGAAUAUUUUUAAACCCAGUUUAUAAAAUCAACAUGUUCAUAAUAAAAUAGGAUUCUCUAGCAUCUGUCACAGUUUAGAUUUUUCUCAAGGGUCUCCUAUGCUCUUAUCCACACUCUUUUGUGUUGGUUAGCUGCUACAGCUAGGCAUUUCUGAGUAUUGAGCGUCAGACAUUUAAUAGAAUUGCAGAAAAGUUUAGGUGGGAAAGGACUUCUGGAGGUCUCUAGUCCAACCUGCUACUCCAAACAGGGCCAAAGCUCAACGCUGGAUCAUGUGGCUGAACUUGUCCAACUCAGUUUUGAGGAUUUCCAAGGAUGGCAGCUUCCCCCACCCCUGGGCCCCCGUUCCAGUGCUCACUCACUCUCCCACAGUCAACAUUUCUUUCCUUACAUCCCUCGCUGGAAACUCCCUUGCUGAGCUUGUGACUGUUGCCACUCAUCCUUUCACCAUAAGCCUCUGAGAAGAGUCUGAUUCCAUCCCCUCUACAGCCCUGUUUGGCAGCGGAAGAUCCCCUCGCCCGGGAGCAGCUUUCUCCUCUCCAGGCUCUGCGCGCUCCCUUCGCCCAGGCUCCACCACCACGACCAUCUCCCAGGAGCCCUCCACUGGCCUCGCUCCUUUUGUCAACACCUCUUUUGCACUGGGCAGCCCAACCCCACAGCCAGUGGCGUUCUUCAUAUUUGCGGAGUUGUGUUACAGUUGUGGCCAGGAUAGGGGUCUGAAUCGUAGUCACAGAUAAGAGCAUCCUCUGUUUGCAAGGCCCAGGACCUCCUAACGCACAAAAUUCCCAGAUAUUUUUGUUGCACCUGAAUAGUCAAAACUGAAUCGUGUAUUUUUGCUUUUCUAAAAGCAAAUGCUAAGCGGCUGGAAACACAAAGGAGAGCCACAGCGAGGAGGUUAGAGAAGGUGGAAGCUUUCUCCUCAGGCACCAGCAAGGUUCCUGAGGACCCUGCAAAUCAUUACAGAGAGGUAAUGAAUCAGAUUGGAGCAUUGGCCUUCUGCAACAGCAGAUUUAAUGUUUGGGAUAGAAACAAAAAGCUGUCACACCUCCAGACCUAAAUCAUUGCAUCGGCACUCCUUCUCUGGAUGGUGAAUCUGCUCGGAUUUUGUUCUUAGUGUAGUUAAAGAUCAAGCCUACAAGGGUUAAAUAUUUACAAAAUCUACCAAAAAAAAUAAAAAAGAAGAAAAUCAAAAACAGUUUCCUAUGAAACAGAAAGCAAAGUAAAACUCAAUGUUCUGAAGGAAUCUAAAGCUUCUUCCAGCGAGAUGAGCUUCUACCCAGCAUGGUUAAAGCAAAACUAUAGCCAAGCUGUUUGUCUGACUCUUGCUAGGGUCAAAGUGGGUCCAAAUAUUUUGUUUGAAAAGAACUGUAAGUUAGUGAACCUCACGGCAUAGGCUGCUUUGACUUGCAGUGGAGUGUCUUUGUGAUCAAGGGCUGUAGAAUGAUACCAGCUUCAAGCAAAGAGGGCUUAGACUUGCUGCCUAACGCACAACGGAGCGGGAUUUCUACAGCGCUUUAUGGUCAGAGCAUUGAGUCAGCCCGGAGCAAACACACUUAACCAGGUGCAGUUUUAUAACACUUUGCUUACAACAUCUGGUUCUAGACCAUUUGAGAGGGACUUGGCACUUCUCCAAAACAUUGCUGGUAACUGGUUUUAUCAUGUUUGGCAACCUAAACAGAGCAGGCUGCUCUCCAAAAUUGGGAAUUUUACUGCUAUUUCACUCGGACACGCACUUGUGGCUUCCAAGCGUAAUCCUGAUGAGCUGUAACCCCACUUGCUGGGGCUCUGCUUCUCAAUUUGAUAUACGCGCUCAGACCAGUUGCAUCACGUCAAUGGUUAGAGUCCUUUGGGCCCCUUUGCGAUGGUGGCACUUUCCUUUGAGAGAGGUUUCUGCUCCGCAAAACCACCAGCCUGCAUCAAGCACAAAGCCCCAAGUUUCAAUUUACAUAGUUGGAGAGGUUAUGAGAGAGCACUUUUAACCGAGUUUCACCUCAUCUGAGGACAGCCUGCCACUUGACACAGUUUAGUGCAAAACCAGUACAUUUCCUUUUCUGGUAGCCACAAACAUUUUUUCCAUUUUCCUAUCAUGGAUUUCAUGUGGACCUUCAGUCUGUUAUCUGCUCUCUUACUGACCAAUCUAGACCUUUCCAAGAAGCUGCGUCAGAAGUCACCUCAUCUAGACUUUUGCAAACUUGUGAGUGGUUGAAAAGAUAAAUACCACACAAAUAAAUACUGAAAUACUGCAGCACUGUAAAAUGACUACGCAAAGUGUUUAUCUGGACAGCUUCAUUUCUUUCACCAUCUUCCUCAAUAUUCUUUGACCAAAAAAACCCC